AGUCGACGAAGAUAUUUAGAAUGAGAGCUUCGGCAGGAUUUUUAUCUAUCUUAGUGGCGGACGGGUGAGUAACGUGUGGGCAACCUGCCCUGUACUGGGGAAUAAUCAUUGGAAACGAUGACUAAUACCGCAUGUGGUCCUCGGAAGGCAUCUUCUGAGGAAGAAAGGAUUUAUUCGGUACAGGAUGGGCCCGCAUCUGAUUAGCUAGUUGGUGAGAUAACAGCCCACCAAGGCGACGAUCAGUAGCCGACCUGAGAGGGUGAUCGGCCACAUUGGGACUGAGACACGGCCCAAACUCCUACGGGAGGCAGCAGUGGGGAAUAUUGCACAAUGGGCGAAAGCCUGAUGCAGCAACGCCGCGUGAAGGAUGAAGGGUUUCGGCUCGUAAACUUCUAUCAAUAGGGAAGAAACAAAUGACGGUACCUAAAUAAGAAGCCCCGGCUAACUACGUGCCAGCAGCCGCGGUAAUACGUAGGGGGCAAGCGUUAUCCGGAAUUACUGGGUGUAAAGGGAGCGUAGGCGGCAUGGUAAGCCAGAUGUGAAAGCCUUGGGCUUAACCCGAGGAUUGCAUUUGGAACUAUCAAGCUAGAGUACAGGAGAGGAAAGCGGAAUUCCUAGUGUAGCGGUGAAAUGCGUAGAUAUUAGGAAGAACACCAGUGGCGAAGGCGGCUUUCUGGACUGAAACUGACGCUGAGGCUCGAAAGCGUGNGGAGCAAACAGGAUUAGANACCCUGGUAGUCCA
rnacentral:rRNA from 1 species